GAUGAACGCUAGCGAUAGGCUUAACACAUGCAAGUCGAGGGGCAGCAUGGUCUUAGCUUGCUAAGACUGAUGGCGACCGGCGCACGGGUGCGUAACGCGUAUGCAACUUGCCUCACAGAGGGGGAUAACCCGUCGAAAGACGGACUAAUACCGCGUACACUCUAUUUUGGGCAUCCAAGGUAGAGGAACUGAAAUUCGCUGUGAGAUAGGCAUGCGUCCCAUUAGCUAGUUGGUGAGGUAACGGCUCACCAAGGCGACGAUGGGUAGGGGAACUGAGAGGUUGAACCCCCACACUGGUACUGAGACACGGACCAGACUCCUACGGGAGGCAGCAGUGAGGAAUAUUGGUCAAUGGGCGAGGGCCUGAACCAGCCAAGUCGCGUGAAGGAUGACUGUCUUAUGGAUUGUAAACUUCUUUUGUAGGGGAAUAAAGAGGGGCACGUGUGCCCCAGUGAAUGUACCCUACGAAUAAGCAUCGGCUAACUCCGUG
rnacentral:rRNA from 1 species